GGAAUCUGCCUGGUAGUGGGGGAGACGUUUCGAAAGGAACGCUAAUACCGCAUACGUCCUACGGGAGAAAGCAGGGGACCUUCGGGCCUUGCGCUAUCAGAUGAGCCUAGGUCGGAUUAGCUAGUUGGUGAGGUAAUGGCUCACCAAGGCUACGAUCCGUAACUGGGCUGAGAGGAUGAUCAGUCACACUGGAACUGAGACACGGUCCAGACUCCUACGGGAGGCAGCAGUGGGGAAUAUUGGACAAUGGGCGAAAGCCUGAUCCAGCCAUGCCGCGUGUGUGAAGAAGGUCUUCGGAUUGUAAAGCACUUUAAGUUGGGAGGAAGGGCAGUAAGCGAAUACCUUGCUGUUUUGACGUUACCGACAGAAUAAGCACCGGCUAACUCUGUGCCAGCAGCCGCGGUAAUACAGAGGGUGCAAGCGUUAAUCGGAAUUACUGGGCGUAAAGCGCGCGUAGGUGGUUCGUUAAGUUGGAUGUGAAAUCCCCGGGCUCAACCUGGGAACUGCAUCCAAAACUGGCGAGCUAGAGUAGGGCAGAGGGUGGUGGAAUUUCCUGUGUAGCGGUGAAAUGCGUAGAUAUAGGAAGGAACACCAGUGGCGAAAGCGACCACCUGGGCUCAUACUGACACUGAGGUGCGAAAGCGUGGGGAGCAAACACGAUUAGAUACCCUGGUAGUCCACGCCGUAAACGAUGUCAACUAGCCGUUGGAAUCCUUGAGAUUUUAGUGGCGCAGCUAACGCAUUAAGUUGACCGCCUGGGGAGUACGGCCGCAAGGUUAAAACUCAAAUGAAUUGACGGGGGCCCGCACAAGCGGUGGAGCAUGUGGUUUAAUUCGAAGCAACACGAAGAACCUUACCAGGCCUUGACAUCCAAUGAACUUUCCAGAGAUGGAUUGGUGCCUUCGGGAACAUUGAGACAGGUGCUGCAUGGCUGUCGUCAGC
rnacentral:rRNA from 1 species